rnacentral:rRNA from 1 species
GACGAACCGUGCGAACGUUGUUCGGAAUCACUGGGCUUAAAGGGCGCGUAGGCGGGUUCUCAAGUCUGGAGUGAAAGCCCACGGCUCAACCGUGGAAGCGCUUCGGAUACUGGGGGCCUCGAGGGAGGUAGGGGCGUGCGGAACUUCCGGUGGAGCGGUGAAAUGCGUAGAUAUCGGAAGGAACACCGGUGGCGAAAGCGGCGCGCUGGACCUCUUCUGACGCUGAGGCGCGAAAGCCAGGGGAGCAAACGGG